ACAACAACAUUCGGACCGUCGGUCUACCGAGCAAAUAUAACCCGCUCGGUGGAAGAUCUUCCCUUUCGUCGCUUAAU
rnacentral:pre_miRNA from 1 species